CCCUUAGAUGUUCUGGGCUGCACGCGCGCUACACUGAAGCGUUCAACGAGUAUUCACCUUGCCCGGGAGGGUUGGGUAAUCUUUUGAAAACGCUUCGUGAUGGGGAUAGAUUAUUGCAAUUAUUAAUCUUCAACGAGGAAUUCCUAGUAAGCGCGAGUCAUCAGCUCGUGCUGAUUACGUCCCUGCCCUUUGUACACACCGCCCGUCGCUCCUACCGAUUGAAUGAUCCGAUGAAUAUCAUGGAUUGAGGAUGCAAGUAGGUUCGCCUAUCUUCAUCUUCGAGAAGUGAAGUAAAUCUUAUCAUUUAGAGGAAGGAGAAGUCGUAACA
rnacentral:rRNA from 1 species